GAUUUCCUACGGGGCGCAGCAGUGAGGAAUAUUGGUCAAUGGGCGGAAGCCUGAACCAGCCAAGUCGCGUGAGGGAAUAAGGCCCUACGGGUCGUAAACCUCUUUUGCCGGGGAGCAAGGGCGGGGACGUGUCCCGGCCCGGAGAGUACCCGGAGAAAAAGCAUCGGCUAACUCCGUGCCAGCAGCCGCGGUAAUACGUAGGGGGCAAGCGUUAUCCGGAUUUACUGGGUGUAAAGGGCGUGUAGGCGGGGAAGCAAGUCAGAUGGGAAAUUCAAGGGCUCAACCCUGGAGAUGCAUUUGAAACU
rnacentral:rRNA from 1 species